rnacentral:rRNA from 1 species
AUUGAACGCUGGCGGCAUGCCUUACACAUGCAAGUCGAGCGGCAGCGGGACCUUCGGGUUGCCGGCGAGCGGCGGACGGGUGAGUAAUGCCUAGGAAUCUGCCUGUUAGUGGGGGAUAACGCGGGGAAACUCGCGCUAAUACCGCAUACGUCCUACGGGAGAAAGCGGGGGCUCUUCGGACCUCGCGCUAACAGAUGAGCCUAGGUCGGAUUAGCUAGUUGGUGGGGUAAUGGCUCACCAAGGCGACGAUCCGUAACUGGUCUGAGAGGAUGAUCAGUAACACUGGAACUGAGACACGGUCCAGACUCCUACGGGAGGCAGCAGUGGGGAAUAUUGGACAAUGGGCGAAAGCCUGAUCCAGCCAUGCCGCGUGUGUGAAGAAGGUCUUCGGAUUGUAAAGCACUUUAAGUCGGGAGGAAGGGCUGUAGGUUAAUACCCUGCGGUUUUGACGUUACCGACAGAAUAAGCACCGGCUAACUUCGUGCCAGCAGCCGCCGUAA